rnacentral:rRNA from 1 species
UACAGAGGUCUCGAGCGUUGUUCGGAUUCAUUGGGCGUAAAGGGUGCGUAGGCGGCGGGGUAAGUCUGAUGUGAAAUCCCGGGGCUCAACCCCGGAACUGCAUUGGAUACUGCUCUGCUUGAGUACUGGAGAGGAGACUGGAAUUUACGGUGUAGCAGUGAAAUGCGCAGAUAUCAGGAAGAACACCCGUGGCGAAAGCGGCUCUCUGGAACGGUACUGACGCUGAGACCCGAAAGCGUGGGGAGCGAACAGG